AAGAUUAAAGCUGUGGAAAGUCAACAAGCGCAACAAAAUACGUGCCGAUUCACCCACUACCAAAGCCAAAGAUCAUUCACCACAUGAAGCUCCUUGUGGUCCAAUUUCAACCUUCAAGAUCAAGCCUCGACGGCCCUUGAAGAAAUUUCAAACAAAAGUUCAAGAACAAGCCUCAAAAGCCCAUUGAAGAAAUCUCAAAGCCCAAUUCAAGAUCAAGCCUCAACGGCCCUUGAAGAAAUCUCCAGCCCAAUUCAAGAUCAAGCCUCGACGGCCCUUGGAUCGACAUCUACAGUAAGGGACUUCAAAACACAUCUCCUACACGUGAC
rnacentral:lncRNA from 1 species